rnacentral:tRNA from 1 species
UCUCUCCUGGCUCAGAUGGUAAAGCAUCUGCCUGCAAUGCAGGAGACCUGGGUUUGAUCCCUGGGUCGGGAA